rnacentral:snoRNA from 1 species
UGGAAGUGAUGAAGAUGAUUCUGCCAAAUGAUUUAAAAUGAUAUCAAAUUUUUUCCGUUCCAUUUCUGAUCCA